GGAUGUGAGGGUGAUCUGGCUGUGACUUUUGUCACUUCACUGAUUGCCAGUUUAUUUAGCUGAUUGAGCUGGAUAGGUGAGUGUCCCCUUCCUCCCUCAGUCCUCUUUGUGCAUCCCUUCCUGAAGCUAUAGGCUCAGGUCAAAGAGGAUGACCACCCCCAUAGAGGAGGACUCUUUCUUCAGUCAAGGAUGUACAAGUAUCUUAUUUCCUUGCUAGACCCUCCAAACAAGCUCUCUGAAAAUAAAAAAAAAUUUUUUUUAAAUUUUGAGGGUACAGCUAAAUGCAAAGGCCCUGGGUUCAAUUCCUAGUACCUAAAAAAAUUGUUU
rfam:Cavia porcellus supercont2_9 genomic scaffold, whole genome shotgun sequence.